CAGACAGUUCUAUUUUGAAGUACAUAGAGGCUUACGACACCAAAAAGAAAGCAGGAGGGGCUAUGUUGAUUGAAUGUGAUGGGAACGACGCAAACCAGCAGAUGUGUUACUCGGUUGUUCACCCCAGGUCCUAUGUGAAUUCCCAGUAUGUUCGUACAAUUGCAUAUCUCUACAACCGGGAGUGGGCUAGUGAAUUUCCAAAGAGUUGUCGCAGACUUAUGCUUGACUCUAUGUUUGCACAUCAAAAGCUAAAGACGAAAGAAACAUAUGCUGGGUUGUUC